GCGUUCAUGGCAGAGAUGGUCAAUGCAGCAGUCUGUAAAACUGUCCCUUUCAAGGUUUCUGGUUCGAGUCCAGAUGGGCGCACC
rnacentral:tRNA from 1 species